GUGCUCCUGCGGGCCCGCGGGGCGGGAUGACCCAGUCGGUGGUCGUCCAGGUCGGGCAGUGCGGGAACCAGAUCGGCUGCUGCUUCUGGGACCUGGCGCUGAGGGAGCACGCCGCGGUCAACCAGAAAGGAAUUUAUGACGAUGCACUAAGCAGCUUCUUCAGGAAUGUGGAUACCAGAGUGGUUGGUGAUGGCGGCAGUAUUUCCAAAGGAAGAAUAUCUUCUUUAAAAGCACGAGCCGUUUUGAUUGACAUGGAAGAAGGAGUAGUGAAUGAAAUUCUCCAAGGACCCCUGAGAGAUGUGUUUGAUAGCAAGCAGCUCAUCACGGAUAUUUCUGGCUCAGGAAAUAAUUGGGCUGUGGGUCACAGAGUGUUUGGAAGUCUUUACCGGGAACAGAUUUUGGAGAAACUCCGGAAGUCAGCAGAGCACUGUGACUGCCUGCAGUGCUUCUUCAUCGUACACUCCAUGGGGGGAGGAACAGGAUCUGGACUUGGCACGUUUCUGUUAAAGGUACUUGAAGAUGAGUUCCCAGAAGUGUACAGAUUUGUGACAGCGGUUUUUCCUUCCAACGAGGACGAUGUCAUCACCUCACCUUACAACAGCAUGCUGGCCAUGAAGGAGCUGAAUGAGCACGCAGACUGUGUGUUGCCCAUUGACAACCAAUCUUUAUUUGACAUCAUUAGCAAAAUUGAUCUUGUGGUAAAUUCUGGAAAGUUGGGUACAGCUGUGAAGCCUAAGAGUCUAGUUACUUCAAAUGUAGGGGCUGUUAAAAAGCGCCACACGAAGCCUUUUGAUGCAAUGAACAACAUUGUGGCCAAUCUGCUCCUCAGCCUGACAAGCUCUGCGAGAUUUGAGGGAUCCCUUAAUAUGGACUUGAAUGAGAUCAGCAUGAACUUGGUUCCUUUCCCUCAACUUCAUUAUCUUGUCUCAAGCCUUACACCUCUGUACACACUGGCAGAUGUUAACAUUCCCCCUCGAAGAUUGGACCAGAUGUUUUCAGAUGCCUUUAGUAAAGAUCACCAGCUCAUUCAAGCAGACCCCAGACGUAGUCUCUACCUCGCCUGUGCCCUCAUCGUUAGAGGAAACGUACAGAUUUCAGAUCUGCGCAGAAAUAUUGAAAGAUUAAAACCUGCUCUGCAAUUUGUCUCCUGGAAUCAAGAAGGCUGGAAGACUAGCCUGUGUUCAGUACCGCCCGUGGGUCACUCCCAUUCAUUAUUGGCUUUAGCAAACAACACGUGUGUGAAGCCUACUUUCAUGGAACUGAGAGAAAGGUUCAUGAGGCUCUACAAGAAAAAGGACUUCCUGAGUAGUGGGCUUUGGCCUGGGUUCCAGCUCCAAUGGAGGGAGCCUCAGAUCCCAUCAGAAAUCGGUUGAUUACCCCCAUAUCAGUCAUGCCACUCUUGUGCUUGUGGACACACCUUCAGGCACAAUGUUUGUUUGACGCUCACCUGCAUCACUAUCUGCACAUUGACGGGAUGGAGGAAGGUGCCUUUGCAGAUGCUCUGUCCUCUCUGUCAGCGCUCAUACAGGAGUAUAAUGAACUGGAUGCCACAAAGGGCAUGCCUGUGCAGGAUGUGCCUAGGCUAAGUGUGGCCUUGUGAAAGAAGCAGCUAAAAAUGCAUUGUUACUCUUUUCUGA